AAUGCAUUGUGUCUAUGUAGGUGGCUGAAUAGGGGCAGUCUACCCCUUUGACCAGCUCGUAGGCAUACGCACCCAUGCUCAGACUGCCAUCAAGAAACUUGGUGAACAUUAAAACUGGGGUAGAAGAUCCAUAGACUGACAUGGCCUCCUGAACACUCAGCUCAUAGAUGAUCCUUUCACCUCUAAAUUGUACAUCAAACACUCUCACGCCUCUAAGGGUGCUCAUACCAAAGGCAAAACUCCAGUCCAAGUACACGAUGUUGUUGUCCUUUAUACUGAACCUUUUGCCUUGAACAUAAAACUGCUGGGGUCCAACACCUGUGGGUUUCUUCCUGGGUUUGAGCGAAGCAUAAUUUUUCACAGGUUUGUAGACGAUUUUCUUUACAGUCCCUGCCUCAUAUUGCUGCUUCAGUUCUGAUAUGCUGUCAAAAUACUGAUCAUUAUAGAACACUUUAAUCACACGCCAGUUUAAGGAAUUGGUGCUUUGGUGGUCUAUUAAAAUUUCAAAGCUCAGUGGAUGGAUGUAAAAGCCCUCCUCUUUUCUGCCGGGCGCAAUCCAUGACUGUCUGUCCCCUGAUUUGACCCCUCUUGGCAUGUUAUCAUAGUAAAUGUGGGAUGAUGACGGUGCUAAACCAAAGCUUUCGUUCAUGAGCGUACUUACUGGCUCAGUUUCAUUUUUCAGGAACGUUUCCAUAAGAGUAUAUUCCUUAAAUAUAACUGGACGUGCAGUCAGAGGGAUCUCUCUCUUGUACCUCUCAGCAGUGACAUCUCGGUGGUAGGUUGGGUUGGGAAGAGGACCAACUACAUAUUCCUUGAUGUUGUUUUGACUGCCGUGAAAAACCACAGCAGUUGCCUCUCUUGCUGGUUUCUGCCCGUUUGCAUCAAGGUAGUGCAAAACCUCCUGUUUCUUCGGCAUGGAGAGUUCAAUCAUAAACAGAUAGUCAGCUGAAGGAAGAGAAUAUUCAUCUGAUGCGAUGUUCAUCCCGAUGAUCUUAAACAUGAAGUCACGCACCUGCAGAAUCUCCUCUUCAGAGAGGUCGGCAAAGACGACGCUGCGCUCAUUGUGGAUCACAGGUCGGUCAGAGUUUACCUGAUGAGCAGGACACGGCGGAGUGCACUGAUUGUUACGCCCCAUCAAAACAAAGUUAAUUAUCAGCGAAAUAACAAAUGCAAAAAUCAGGAGGCAGUUACAAAGUGUGCAAUUAGUUUCACAGGCCAUUUCUUCGUAGAUGGCAACAGGUGUCGUGGAGAGAAAACGAAAGCUGUGUUGACAGACAGGUGAUGGGUGAGGCUGCUGGUUUUACAGGUUACGUUGAAAAGGGGGGGGCGUUAAACAGUAAGAGAAGAUAUGUGACUUCCUUCUGUACCUCUAAAAACAGAACAACUAAAGUGGUGAAAUUAAUCACUUAAUGGCAGAGUUGUGUGAACAGGAAAGCCUAAAUGAUAACAGUAGUAGUAAACAUUACUCAAAGAUAAAAUUUUGAUGUCUUAAAUGCUCUGACAAAAACAUAACUAAAAAACACUUAAAGCAAUGUAGGUAUGUUUUGCUGUGUAAGUUUUUGACUAGUCUAUGCAUGAAACCUGCACAUGAUAGUUUGUACAUUUUGAACAAUACUGCCCCACAAAGGCGAAAUGCAGUAGCAGCACCUUUGGUUAAAAUGAGGUUCAGACUUCUGUUUAAUCAUCUGACAAACUUUCCUGGUUCUAUUAUGUUCGGUUUCAGAAAAAAAUGGGUGUCAGUUCAAGCCCAGAAAGGAGGAAACACUGACAACUCAUGGAGAGCAGAAACAUGAGACAGAGAUGUGGCACAUGAGGAUGAUCUAGGAUAGGAAGCACAGGCGGACUGGGAGUCAAUGGACCUGAGCAAGAGACAGCUGUGAGUAUCAAAAUUAAACAGGUUGCACAAGACAUGAAACAUAUAAACAACUGGAGACAACAGACAGAACGUGUGUUAGCAAUAGGCAAGCUGUGCUCUAUCCACCAAUCAUAGAUUAAAUGGAGCCCUGCUACAUAAUACAUCUACAUUCACCCUCUGAUAUAUGAUUCAUGAUUUCUUUAGAUUCAUAUACAGACCCUCAAGGAAAACAUAAAUCAACUAAAUGUAACUUAAUGUAGAAAAUAGGGAAUAUGUGUUCAGAUUUUGUGCCAUCAACAAUUUGCAUUACAAGGAAUAAUUAUUCUACUCUAAUUUUCAGUGAAUACAUAAAGGUGGAAACCAGGAGAAAUAUCUUAAAAAGAUAAAUAAUAAAUAAAUAAAACUAGCAUAAAACUAAGAAAAUCUUGAUCGACAUGAUGGCUAAACAAACACUGACUAUAAUGACACUAAAAACUAAGUCUAACUGCCUUAAUCUUGACCAACACAACACGAAACUCUCAGACUUCAGAUUUCUCAAAAUGACUAAGCUAAAUUAUAAGAGUAACGUUGCUUUAUCCAUUGUAUCUAAUAUGCAGGCUGUAUGAAAUAUUUCGCCGCUGUUUCAAGUGUCACAGAGAAACAAGUUAGAGAGUUUUUUUCUUUUCUAUUUGUAGUUUUAUUCAAGCUUUUGAUGCAGCCAAACAAAAUCAAAUCACAGACAUAAAAUGAGACCAUGGCAGCGUUAUCUGGCAUCCUGCUUAUGAGUCUGUGAAGUUUUCAUUUGAAACCAUGGUAGGUGAAGGGAUCCAUCACUGGGCUGCAAGUUUCCUGAGAAAGGCAGGCCAUCUUAUUGUUAUCACAGCUUUCCUCUGUGCCAGGAGCAAAGUAGACUCCGUCUGCAGAGUGGAUGGAUGGAUCCUCGUUAAAGUAGUUGUGUGGACGCAGCAGAACCCCGCCCCCGUUGCCGACUGUUACUGUGUUGGGGAUGUCCUCAGCAUGGGGGAUGUGGAGGAAACCAGUGGUCACCCAGGCAACCAGGUCCUAAAAAGAAAUGAGGAAGGAAUGGGAGGUACGUGUUAACCCUUUGAUCAAUUUCUAUUAUUUCUAGAAGUUCACGAUGUCAACACACACACCUCAUUUUCAAUGCUUUCAUUAUCUUCAAUGAACUUGCUGAAGUCAACAGCUGGAUUCCAGAUGUCAUGCUGAUUGUACAGACUGCCAACACUCUGCUCCAUGUCCUUGUGUUUAGUAAUGGCAACCCUAUACCUAAAGGAAGAAGAGUUACUUCAGACUCCAGGAAGAGGGAAGAAAUGGGCGAUAAGGGGAUGACUCAAAAUCAGUGGUGUGGAGAAACAGGAUGAAGAUUGGUUAUAAAGACUUUUGUCGAUGCUGUUUCUUACCUGGCCCAGGACAUGGCCUUCUCCUCUGCCUGGCUCUGUGGGAGGUGAUCUCCAGUGAAGCUGAACACCUGCAACCUGUAGGAGCGCUGAUGACCCCAGCGGUUGGUUUGGUUGCUUGCAAUGUGAAGGUAUCGAGGAAUCUUGGCUUCAGGACUGAGUGCGGCUUCCUGUGAGGGUCAAAAUGAUCCCUAUCUCAAAGGUACUUCUAGCCAGGGGUUAGGUCCAGUAUCACAUUAUGACAUUAUAAGUUCAUAUACUGAACAAUACAGCAUGGAUUUUGUGUCUGAUAGAAAUGUUUAAUUAUCAGACACAUAAAAGGGCAAGCAAGUGUAAAGACAAGGGCUGCCACCUCAUAGUCAUCGACUAUUUAGGCUAUUUAUGCAUCUAUGUUUAAGGCUUUGUGUUGUACAACUUGUUUUUGAUUAUUGUACAUGUUGCAUAGUCCCUAUGAAUGCUGCCCAUCUCUCCCAAUAGACAACUUUUUGGGUAAGGUGGCACGUCCGUCCUAUAAGGUCACAAAAUGUUACCAAAAUGACAAAUAAGUUGCAAAUAAAUUCUGGCACAAGAGUGGAAACAGUUGUCUCUACCUCUGCUGGUAAACAUACAGGUAUUUAUGAGAUGUUAGUAACAGUGUUUGGUGUUUAAAGUAGUACUGCACCUGCUCUGUUUGAAGCUGUUUCUCCACCAGCUGAGGGAUCAUGGCGUAGCGUUCAGGCAUCCAGGGCAGCGAGACAUUUACAAACUCCAUGUCUUUGGUCUGGAAAACGUUCUUCACUCCUGUGGUAAGGACAUACUACAUAUGACUCUAUCUAGACCUGCAUAUUUCCAAGUGUCCAUGACUUUUCAGCUUUUUAAGGUUUUAUGUUGAUAAAUGUUUGAUAUUGAGUACAAUUGUAAAAAAAUCAAGGUGAAGAAUGGUAUGUGUACAAUUUUGAUAUUUUCCACGGUUUUCAGUUUCACUUACCUGAAACAUCAAGAUCCACCUUAAAGUUGAGGAAGUGAGUGUGGAUGUUUCCAGUGACAUUCUCCGCUACUUGAUGACCAAAUUUAAAGUUAUCAUUAACUUUGAAGGAUGAUGCAAUGUAGCCUGAGGCGUGCACUUUAGCCUCCACUGAGCCACUCUGGUAGAAAAUGAAAUCCCAAACAUAAUCGUAGUUCUCAAUAACUGUGAUUGUCCUGAACACCAAGGCGUUAUUGGCCAGUCCUCCAUAACUGUUGUAGACUAUCUCAGAGAAGUGCCUCCGCAGUGGUUGGCCAAAGUCGUGUUCAAAAACACAAACUGAGUUUCUGAUCCGGCGUGGAACUCCAGAGUCCACAAAAUGGACUGUGUCUAUGUAGGUGGCUGAAUAGGGGCAGUCUACCCCUUUGACCAGCUCGUAGGCACAUGCACCCAUCCUCAGACUGCCAUCAAGGAACUUGGUGAGCAUUAAAUCUGGGGUAGAAGAUCCAUAGACUGACAUGGCCUCCUGAACACUCAGCUCAUAGAUGAUCCUUUCACCUCUAAAUUGUACAUCAAACACUCUCAUGCCUCUAAGGGUGCUCAUACCAAAGGCAAAACUCCAGUCCAAGUAUACGAUGUUGUUGUCCUUUAUACUGAACCUUUUGCCUUGAACAUAAAACUGCUGGGGUCCAACGCCUAUGGGUUUCUUCCUGGGUUUGAGAGAGGCAUAGUUUGGCACAGGUUUGUAGACGAUCUUGUUUACAGUCCCUGCCUCAUAUUGCUGCUUUAGUUCUGCUAAACUGUCAAAGUACUGAUCAUUAUAGAGCACUUUAAUCACACGCCAGGAUGAGAAAUUGGUGCUUUGGUGGUCUAUUAAAAUUUGGAAGCCGACUGGAUGGAUGUAAAAUCCCUCCUCAUCACGACAGUAUGAAACCCAUGACUGUCUGUCUCCUGACUUGACCCCUCUGGGCAUGCCGUCAUAGUAAGCAAUAUUUGAUGGAAUCAUGCCAAAGCUUUCUUUUAAGAGCGCACUUACUGGUUUAAGCAUGUCUCUCAGAAGCAUAUCUAUGAGCAUGUAUUCCCCUCCAGAAACUGGACGCGCAGUCAGAGGGAUCUCUCUCUUGUACCUCUCAACAGUGACAUCUCGGUGGUAGGUUGGGUUGGGAAGAGGACCAACUACAUAUUCCUUGAUGUUGUUUUGACCACCGUGAAACACCACAGCAGUUGCCUCUCUUGCUGGUUUCUGACCAUUUGCAUCAAGGUAGUGCAAAACCUCCUGUUUCUUCGGCAUGGAGAGUUCAAUCAUGUACAGGUAGUCAGCUGAAGGAGGAGAAGAUGGAUCAAAUGAGAUGUUCAUCCCGUUGAUCUUAGACAUGUAGUCACGCACCUGCAGAAUUUCCUCCUGUGUGAGAUCAGCAAAGACGACGCUGCGCUCAUUGUGGAUCACAGGUCGGUCAGAGUUUACCUGAUGAGCGGGGCACGGUGGAGUGCGCUGAGUGUUAAGCCAUAUCAAAACAGAGGUACUUACAACCAAAGCAAUGACUGCAGGAAUCAGAAGACAUUUGAGGACGUUGACAAAAGUUUUACAGGCCAUUUUGCUACAAAUGAACAGCAGUCAUAGUUGAUAAAAAGAAAUGUGAAGGUAGGGGGAAAGUUACUCAUUUUAAAGACUCCUUUUACAACCUGGGGGUGUCACUUUUGAUAAGAGUUACAGUAACUGUAUAGUAUCUCAUAAAAAAAUCCUGGCAUGAAUAUUGAGUAACUUAUAAAGAACUGUUUCAUGUUUUAUUACAUUAAAUUCUUAUGAGGCCAUGAAUUUGGAUUGUACUUUUGCAAUUUGGUCUUUUUUUUAUUUAGAAACAUAGUCAUUAAUACCCAGAGUUUAUUCCUGAUAUGUUACCUAACACCUCAUCCACUGUUCUAAAUACAAUACAUUAAUGUUUGCAAUGUUUUACACAAUUUCCACAACUUUAUUAGAGAUUGUUCAUGUUACAAACACUUAGAUCAGCCGACUUUUCUUUUUUAUUUCAUUUUAAUCCUCAAGUCGAAGCUGACACUGAAAUUCAAAUUGCUCUCUAAGUCUGCCAUAUGGACCAGUUAACAUGUGAAAAGUUAAAAUUUGCUAUAAGGUCAAUUAUUCUGGUGGAAUCAGACAACUUCAGUGGCAGACUCAGGGUGUCCGAGGGUCAAAGGUGGGGAUG
rnacentral:lncRNA from 1 species